AUUGAACGCUGGCGGCCGGCCUAACACAUGCAAGUCGAGCGGAGCGGCGGACGGGGAAGUACGGCCUAGGAAUCUGCCUGUUAGUGGGGGAUAACGUCCGGAAACGGGCGCUAAGACCGCAUACUAUCAGAUGAGCCUAGGUCGGAUUAGGUAGUUGGUGGGGUAAAGGCCUACCAAGGCGACGAUCCGUAACUCGUCUGAGAGGAGGAUCAGGCACACUGGGACUGGGACACGGUCCAGACUCCUACGGGAGGUAGCAGGUGGGAAUAUGUGGCAAUGGACGAAAGUCUGACGGAGCAAAGCCGCGUGAGUGAUGACGGCCUUUGGGUUGGAAAGCUCUGUUAAUCGGGACGCGGUACCGGACUAGAAAGCCACGGCUAACUACGUGCCAGCAGCCGCGGUAAUUC
rnacentral:rRNA from 1 species